rnacentral:rRNA from 1 species
AUGAACGUUAGCGGCAGGCCUAACACAUGCAAGUCGAGGGGUAACAGGGUGCUUGCACCGANGACGACCGGCGCACGGGUGNGUAACGCGUAUACAAUCUACCUCGUACAGGGGAAUAGCCCAUAUAAAUAUGGAUUAAUGCCCCAUGAUAUUAUUAUAUAGCAUUAUUGGAUAAUUAAACAUUCGUGGCUACAAGAUGAGUAUGCGUUCUAUUAGUUAGUAGGUGUGGUAACGGCUUACCAAGACUACCAUAGAUAGGGGUCCUGAGAGGGAGAUCCCCCACACUGGUACUGAGACACGGACCACACUCCUACGGGAGGCAGCAGUGAGGAAUAUUGGACAAUGGGCGCAACUCUGAUCCAGCCAUGCCGCGUGCAGGAAGACNGCCCUAUGGGUUGUAAACUGCUUUUAUAGAGGAAGAAACACUCCUAACCGUAGGAGUUUGACGGUACUCUACGAAUAAGGAUCGGCUAACUCCGUGCCAGCAGCCGCGGUAAUACGGAGGAUCCAAGCGUUAUCCGGAAUCAUUGGGUUUAAAGGGUCCGUAGGCGGGACAAUCAGUCAGCGGUGAAAGUCCGUGGCUCAACCAUAGAAUUGCCUUUGAUACUGUUGUUCUUGAAUACUUAUGAAGUGGUUGGAAUAUGUAGUGUAGCGGUGAAAUGCAUAGAUAUUACAUAGAACACCGAUUGCGAAGGCAGCCCACUAACAGUGAACUGACGCUGAUGGACGAAAGCGUGGGUAGCGAACAGGAUUAGAUACCCUGGUAGUCCACGCCGUAAACGAUGGUUACUAGCUGUUCGGUCGCAAAACUGAGUGGUUAAGCGAAAGUGAUAAGUAUUCCACCUGGGGAGUACGUUCGCAAGAAUGAAACUCAAAGGAAUUGACGGGGGCUUAAAUGUUGUUUGACAGAUUUGGAAACAGAUCUUUCGCAAGACAAAUUACAAGGUGGUGCAUGGUUGUCGUCAGCUCGUGCCGUGAGGUGUCAGGUUAAGUCCUAUAACGAGCGCAACCCCUGUUGUUAGUUGCCAGCGAGUCAUGAUGGGAACUCUAACAAGACUGCCNGUGCAAACUGUGAGGAAGAUGGGGAUGACGUCAAAUCAUCACGGCCCUUACGUCAUGGGCCACACACGUGCUACAAUGGUAGGGACAGAGCGCAGCCACUGGGCGACCAGGAGCGAAUCUAUUAAACCCUAUCACAGUUCGGAUCGGAGUCUGCAACUCGACUCCGUGAAGGUGGAAUCGCUAGUAAUCGCAUAUCAGCCAUGAUACGGUGAAUAGGUUCCCGGACCUUGUACACACCGCCCGUCAAGCCAUGGAAGCUGGGGGUACCUGAAGUCNAUCACCGCAAGGAGCCGCCUCGGGUAAGAUUGGUAACUAGGGCUAAGUCGUAACAAGGUA